GACGAACGCUGGCGGCGUGCUUAACACAUGCAAGUCGAGCGGACAGACCCGGCUCUUGUUCCUUGCUCGAGUGGCGCACGGGGGUGUAUCACAUGAGUAACCCGUCCUUAACAUUGUGGUAACUUCUGGGAACUCGGGCUCAUAUCGGGUAGGAGCUACUGCUGCACGGUGUUGAAUGGUAAGAUUCGGUGUUUGGGGCUCGACUCGCGGCUUAUGAGCUUCUUAGUGUGGUAGUGGCUUACCAAGGCUUCGACGGCUAGCCGGCCUAAGAGGGUGACCGGCGACAUGGGUACUGAGAUACGCCGCAGACUCCUACGGGACGCAGCAGUGGGGAGUAUUGCACAACAGGGCGGAGCCUGAUGCAGAGGCGCCGCGUGCGGGAUGCUGGCUUACGGGUUGUAAACCACUUUCGCCGGUGCCGAAGCGUGAGUGACGGUAACGGGUAAAGAAGCAACGGCUAACUACGUG
rnacentral:rRNA from 1 species